rnacentral:rRNA from 1 species
AUUGAAAGCUGGCGGCAGGCCUACCACAUGUAAGUUGGGCGAGCGGCGGAUGGGUGAGUAAUGUAUGGGGAUCUGCCUGAUGGAGGGGGAUAACUACUGGAAACGGUAGCUAAUACAGCAUACCAUCAGAUGAACCCAUAUGGGAUUAGCUUGUAGGUGAGUUAAGGGCUCACCGAGGCGACGAUCCCUAGCUGGUCUGAGAGGAUGAUCAGCCACACUGGGACUGAGACACGGCCCAGACUCCUACGGUAGGCAGGAGUUGUGAAUAUUGCACAAUGGGCGCAAGCCUGAUGCAGCCAUGCCGCGUGUAUGAAGAAGGCCUUCGGGUUGUAAAGUACUUUCAGUCGGGCGGCGUUACCGACAGAAGAAGCACCGGCUAACUCCGUGCCAGCAGCCGCGGUAAUAC